UGGCCAUGGCCAUUGCUGGAUCCCCCAAGAUGGUGGUGCAGUGUUUUGCUGUCUUCACAUCCUGCUUGGCCUCAUCAGAGUCAAGAAGUCACUGACAGAACUGGGAUAUUUACUCUGGAGAGAAAGAAGCUUGGGAUGAAAGUGGGGAAGACAAUUGGCAGCUGUCUUCAACCAUCUGAAGAAGGGCUGGCAUGUGGAAAUAAGAUCCACAAUCCCAGUGGAGAGAAGUGUGAAAAGGGAAUAACCAUCACUCAACAGACCUCAUGCCUCUCACAAUCUACAAAUGUCAGGACAGUUUGAAUACUGAAAGCCCUGAUCCUUCAUCCUUCAUGGACGGCCUUCUCUCAUGGAGCCAGACCAGGACCCGGUCUCAUGAGGACAGUGGGGAAGGGAAACUAGCCACGGGACUCAGGACAACUAGGUUCAGGUAGCAGCUCCAGCAGUGACUGGUACAGUCCAAGAUCUGGUGGCAAUGCAGCAAGUAUGUGGUUAUCAUCAAGAGGCCUUUGCAAAAUUAGGACCCAAGUAGGAGGUGAAGAAGCUCCAAAGAAGCUGAAGUAAUGGUGUCAAAGGCAUUUAGGAGGCACUCCAGGAAAUGCACAGGGCCUUAUUGCUGGACAUGUAAGUGGAGGUAUCCAGGAGGCUAAAAUGAGAAAAAAAAUCAGGAGUGGAGUAAUCUCCAAAGAAGAUGCAGUCUACGACUUGUUUGUGCUCAAGGAUCCGAUGUAAGACACCACAUUACAUCAGGGCAGUAAAUGCUUGAUGAACAAGCUGGAAGGCAAUACUGUGAGCUUCAUGAAGAAAGGAACUGUCAUUUUUUUGUUCAGCAUUAUAAACCCAGAACCUUGCAAAAUGCCUGGUACAUAGAUUUUCAGAGAAAAUUCUGGAAAGAAUGACUGAUAUGCAGCAUGUGGAGUGAAAUAUUGAUUAAAACCAAAACAGCAUUAACAGAAAGACUGCUGAACAAGUCAUCAGCAUGGACAUACUGACCACUACAGCAGAAUGACUGGGGUAUUUUAAAGUCAUGUACACUUUUCCCCCAGAGGUUUUGGAUGAGCUAAAUUUGGUUCCAUCCGGAUGGUGCUGAGGACUUCUGGAAGAGAGGCCAACAAGGUAGACCCGAGUGGAGAGGGGAAACCAACAGUCCAUGAGCAGGAGCCUCAGAUCCCCAGUGUCUGCUCUUCAGCUUGAAAGCGACGGCAGCCAUACCAGGACUAGAAAUGAAAGUUGUUUUCUAGUCAGGCACACCCCUCAUCCCCGAAGGGUCUGCCACAUC